rnacentral:tRNA from 1 species
AGGGAUGUAGCUCAGUGGUAGAGCACUUGCCUAGCAUGCACAGGGCCCUAGGUUCGAUCCCUAGUAUCCAGA